rnacentral:rRNA from 1 species
CUGCUGCCUUCCGUAGGAGUCUGGGCCGUGUCUCAGUCCCAGUGUGGGGGGCCUUCCUCUCAGAACCCCUACGCAUCGUCGCCACGGUGGGCCGUUACCCCGCCGACUAGCUAAUGCGCCGCAUGCCCAUCCGUGGCCGGGAUUGCUCCCUUUGGCGGCCUUGGGAUGUCCCUAGGCCGCGUUACGCGGUAUUAGACGGGGUUUCCCCCGCUUAUCCCCCUGCCACGGGCAGGUUGCAUACGUGUUACUCACCCGUGCGCCGGUCGCCGGCAACGG